rfam:Homo sapiens chromosome 1, GRCh38 reference primary assembly.
GUGCUUGCUUUGGCAGCAUAUAUACUAAAUUUGGAACAAUACAGAGAAGAUUAGCAUGAUAAAUAAGAAUUUAAAACAUUAACUUAAUUGGAUUAUGAUUUAU